AUUGAACGCUGGCGGCAGGCCUAACACAUGCAAGUCGAGCGGUAACACAAGGGAGCUUGCUCCUGAGGUGACGAGCGGCGGACGGGUGAGUAAUGCCUAGGUAUCUGCCCAGUCGAGGGGGAUAACAGUUGGAAACGACUGCUAAUACCGCAUACGCCCUACGGGGGAAAGGAGGGGACCUUCGGGCCUUCCGCGAUUGGAUGAACCUAGGUGGGAUUAGCUAGUUGGUGAGGUAAUGGCUCACCAAGGCGACGAUCCCUAGCUGGUCUGAGAGGAUGAUCAGCCACACUGGAACUGAGACACGGUCCAGACUCCUACGGGAGGCAGCAGUGGGGAAUAUUGCACAAUGGGCGAAAGCCUGAUGCAGCCAUGCCGCGUGUGUGAAGAAGGCCUUCGGGUUGUAAAGCACUUUCAGCGAGGAGGAAAGGUUAGGUCUUAAUACGGCCUAGCUGUGACGUUACUCGCAGAAGAAGCACCGGCUAACUUCGUGCCAGCAGCCGCGGUAAUACGAGGGGUGCAAGCGUUAAUCGGAA
rnacentral:rRNA from 1 species